CCCGUUUCCAGAGGAAGCACGGCUGUCCGAUCUAAUGAUUUCACCAAAUGUCAGGCGUUAACAGUUGACUUGAAGUGAUCAUCGUCAAUUGUUGAGUAAACAAAGCCAUUGUCAACAAGAGACUGUAAUUCGUCCAUGAGCUUAUCCAUUGGAAUAUUUAGCUGCUGGGCAACAACGUUGCGGUGCACUCCAUCCUCGUUUGUAAGGUAUAUGGGCUGCUGCAAAAAAUUCAAUAUCAUCUGACCAACAUUGUUCAAUCCAUCAGCAGACGAAUAAGCAGAAGAUUGAUUUAGAGGGGCCGUUUGGUAUCCUUUCAAAGGGGUGUUCAUGGUUGAAUUUGCCAGCUGUGACUGAGUAGUGGCACCCGGUAGCCGUAUCCUUUUAUUGUAGAAAUGGACAUAAAUACACUCAAUGAAGUGGCUAGUAAUCUCAUUGAAGUCAGUAAUAGGCCUAAUGGAGAAGACAUUUAUGAAUCUUCUACCCUGCAGCCCUCUCAAGUGUCCAUGAACACGAACAUACUUUCCAACUAAGAUUCCCUCCGCUUCAUCUGUGUCAAUGCGUUCUUGCACCCAUCUGGUACAUUCAAUCUGUCCAGUCCCAUCAUCAACAAGGAAGGUAUACUCACUAGCUUUGUCUUCCUUUUGGCAUACUCUCCCCACAAUUGUAACAUUGGUCACUUCAACACCAUCAAUGACGAAAUUGGAUUCAUCAUUGCUUGGUAGCUCGCAUAUCUGCUUCACCGUCAGUGCUAAUAAACAUCUAGCCUCGCGAUUUCUGGAAGAUAGCAAGGAGGAGGAGGAAUCCGGCAGCUGGGUAGUCUGAGAGGGCAUGAAACCACCACCCAUGAAGGCGGCUGCGCUGCCAUCGAAUUCACUGCUUCGAUACAUAUUCCCUUCGUUUCUUCUUCUUCCGCACUCUAUUGCAC
rnacentral:misc_RNA from 1 species